AAACGAUGUCGAUUUGGAGUUUGUUGCCUAGAGUGAUGGGCUCCGAAGCUAACGCGAUAAAUCGACCGCCUGGGGAGUACGGCCGCAAGGUUAAAACUCAAAUGAAUUGACGGGGGCCCGCACAAGCGGUGGAGCAUGUGGUUUAAUUCGAUGCAACGCGAAGAACCUUACCUGGUCUUGACAUCCAUAGAAUUCUGCAGAGAUGUGGGAGUGCCUUCGGGAACUAUGAGACAGGUGCUGCAUGGCUGUCGUCAGCUCGUGUUGUGAAAUGUUGGGUUAAGUCCCGCAACGAGCGCAACCCUUAUUCUUUGUUGCCAGCGAUUUGGUCGGGAACUCAAAGGAGACUGCCGUUGAUAAAGCGGAGGAAGGUGGGGACGACGUCAAGUCAUCAUGGCCCUUACGACCAGGGCUACACACGUGCUACAAUGGCGUAUACAAAGGGAAGCGAAGGUGCGAGCUGGAGCGGAUCUCAUAAAGUACGUCUAAGUUCGGAUUGGAGUCUGCAACUCGACUCCAUGAAGUCGGAAUCGCUAGUAAUCGUAGAUCAGAAUGCUACGGUGAAUACGUUCCCGGGCCUUGUACACACCGCCCGUCACACCAUGGGAGUGGGUUGCACCAGAAGUAGAUAGCUUAACCGCGAGGGGGGCGUUUACCACGGUGUGAUUCAUGACUGGGGUGAAGUCGUAACAAGGUAACCA
rnacentral:rRNA from 1 species